rnacentral:rRNA from 1 species
CCCUUAGAUGUUCUGGGCCGCACGCGCGCUACACUGACGGAGGCAGCGAGCGUGUCCUUCGCCGGCAGGUGCGGGCAAUCUUGCGAGUCUCCGUCGUGCUGGGGAUAGAUGGUUGCAAUUGUCGAUCUUGAACGAGGAAUUCCUAGUAAGCGCGAGUCAUCAGCUCGCGCUGAUUACGUCCCUGCCCUUUGUACACACCGCCCGUCGCUACUACAGAGUGCCCGUGUCCAAGAAACGGUCGGACCUGGGCGGCCUCUCCGGGCGACCGGAGGGCCGUUACGGGGAAGACCCUUUAUUUGACGCGGGUCGAUGAAGUAAAAGUCGUAACA